rnacentral:lncRNA from 1 species
GCCCAUGCACAAUUUAGCUUGGGAAGUCUUCACGGUCCAAGCAGAAGGAGCACACGUCCACGUGAAAUUUGAUGGGCUGAAUCAUCCAGCUAAAAGCUCCAACGGGGUACACACAACAUGUCUCGACCUGGUCCAGCAUUGUAGCUGCUGAUUCAAUUUGGGCUUGGAGCUGCCACGGCCUGGUCUAGGAGCAACACAACAGCUGCCACCGAAAAGAAAGGUCCAGCAGUUUUAGCCCACAGUGCAGCAGCUUUGAAGGAGGGUCCAAAAUCUUCACGUUUGCAGCACUCCAUCAUCCAACAGCCUUGGCCCAACUUCCAUGAACAUUCACUUAUUUGCUUAGAUGAAACGGGAAAGAAGUCACACACGGACGGUAAAUAUACAGCAGCAAAGCAUACAACAAGGUCCAACAAGAGAAAGCUGGCAGCAAGGCCCUUGAGCAGAAAAAGUUUGGAGACGUCCAGCCUUCACAGGGCAGUAGCGGCCCAUGGGAAACCACUUCAAGUCCAACACAUGAAGGAGUGUCUAGUGUGAGGUUCAGCAAGCAAUGUCUUCAUCCAUCAAUGUCCAGCAGGAUUUAGGAGAUGCAACACGGCCCAACUUCAUGCUCACAUGUAGCAACAACAGCUGAUCAUGGGAGGUUCAUCUAGCAUAUCUCCACGUCCAAUAGCAACAGAAGCUUUUAUUUACAUGACCAUCAGCUGCAGCCUCUUCACGCGUCCAUCAACUUCUGAAGCCUAAGCAUUAACCUUGUCCAGAUCAUCACGGUUUUAUUGGAGACACAAAACCCUAGGUGGAGAUAUUCCCUAAAGAGCCGACACUGUUACGUUGAGAAAAAGAAGGAGGAAGCUUUUAUUUUUUUGGGAGCUGCCAUGGAGGGAGACAAGCACACAGUUGCAGUUUGGUUAUGGAAGGAGAUAUAACUUGAUUUUAAUCCUUAAUGCACUUUUGGUCCAGAGUUUAUUUUUUAUCCAGCCAACACUUGAUUUCUCUUAGGGUCUCGGGAAGUAUGGUGUUUCGGUGGGUUUCUUUUCUUUUUAUUUGGUGUUUUGCUGUAACAAUUUUGGAUGCAGUAGUUCACGUGCAAGUGCAUUGAGAGCAUACGAAGAUUCACUCUCCUUUAUCAUAUUGGGUCAUACAAUAUUUAUCAUGCAAUUUUCUUUUAUUUUUAAUACAAUCAGCCUUCCCAUUUUUCUUAGUUCAACCUCUGUUUUAUUUUAGAUCAAAGAAAAUGCAUUUGCUAAAUUGCCACUUGCUAUUUGUUCAAGCUUUCUUCUUUUCUGUUAGUACCAUUUCGACAAAGAAUUAUUUUUAAUGUCUAACUACUAGUUGCAUUUCAAUUGCUCAUAAUGC